ACUGGUUGAUUGGUGACUCAACACACCUGCUCGUCUUCGCGCAGGUGUUUUUCAAUCAGCUGAUUGCUGCUUCCUCCUCCUCCUCCUCUUCCUCUUCUUAUUUAAGCUUCCUCCAGCCAACAGUUCCGUGAUGUCACUUUGAAGAGAAGCCGCACGAGCUGUGGAACGAAAACAAAAAAAAAGACGCUGAAAAAAAAAGUGUCGCUGCUUAACUAGUGAAAGUGUUCCGGGAGGAGGGAACUUGUGACGCUGAUGCACCGACCGCCUUAAAAAGAACGAGGGAACUUUAAAAAAAGAAGAGUAAAAGAAAAGAAAACUACCGCGGCGUGACGUCAGACGCCGAAAAGCUGGUCGCGUGCAUCAGCAAGGCGCUCCAGGAUGGCGUGUUCGACCUGGUCCAGAUUGGUGUCCCGUCCACAAUGGAACAACCUGCUUCCUGCUCACGGAGACCUGGUCGGACACGUCAUAUACAGAAGCCUGAGGCUGUCGAAAAAAAGAUUGAUCUUCAUGAAGACUGUCAAAGAGUAGGUGUGAUGAUUUAAUUCUGGGUGGCCGCUGUGUCCCCACUCUUUCUUGGCCGCUGUGC